CCUACGGGGGGCAGCAGUGAGGAAUAUUGGUCAAUGGGCGCGAGCCUGAACCAGCCAAGUCGCGUGAGGGAGGACGGCCCUACGGGUUGUAAACCUCUUUUGCCGGGGAGCAACGGGCGUCACGUGUGGCGCCACUGAGAGUACCCGGAGAAAAAGCAUCGGCUAACUCCGUGCCAGCAGCCGCGGUAAUACGGAGGAUCCGAGCGUUAUCCGGAUUUAUUGGGUUUAAAGGGAGCGUAGAUGGGUUGUUAAGUCAGUGGUGAAAGUUUGGGGCUCAACCGUAAAAUUGCAAUUGAUACUGGCAGUCUGGAGUACAGUUGAGGUAGGCGGAAUUCGUGGUGUAGCGGUGAAAUGCUUAGAUAUCACGAAGAACACCGAUUGCGAAGGCAGCUUACUAAACUGCCACUGACGUUGAUGCUCGAAAGUGUGGGUAUCAAACAGGAUUAGAUACCCCGGUAGUC
rnacentral:rRNA from 1 species